AUUGAACGCUGGCGGCAUGCUUUACACAUGCAAGUCGAACGGUAACAGGUCUUCGGAUGCUGACGAGUGGCGAACGGGUGAGUAAUGUAUCGGAACGUGCCCAGUAGUGGGGGAUAACUACUCGAAAGAGUGGCUAAUACCGCAUGAGAACUGAGGUUGAAAGCGGGGGACCUUCGGGCCUCGCGCUACUGGAGCGGCCGAUAUCAGAUUAGGUAGUUGGUGGGGUAAAGGCCUACCAAGCCGACGAUCUGUAGCUGGUCUGAGAGGACGACCAGCCACACUGGGACUGAGACACGGCCCAGACUCCUACGGGAGGCAGCAGUGGGGAAUUUUGGACAAUGGGCGCAAGCCUGAUCCAGCCAUGCCGCGUGCGGGAAGAAGGCC
rnacentral:rRNA from 1 species